CAGCCGCCGCGGGAAUACGUAGGGGGCUAGCGUUAUCCGGAUUUACUGGGCGUAAAGGGUGCGUAGGUGGUCCUUCAAGUCGGUGGUUAAAGGCUACGGCUCAACCGUAGUAAGCCGCCGAAACUGGAGGACUUGAGUGCAGGAGAGGAAAGUGGAAUUCCCAGUGUAGCGGUGAAAUGCGUAGAUAUUGGGAGGAACACCAGUAGCGAAGGCGGCUUUCUGGACUGCAACUGACACUGAGGCACGAAAGCGUGGGUAGCAAACAGGAUUAGAUACCCGAGUAGUCCCUGUCUCUUAUACA
rnacentral:rRNA from 1 species